rnacentral:rRNA from 1 species
GUUAAGUCCGGGCCUGAGGCCGAGGGAAUAAGGAGGGUGCAAGCGUUGUUCGGAAUUAAUGGGUGUAAAGGGAGCGUAGACGGCAAUGCAAGUCUGGAGUGAAAACCCACAGCUCAACUUGGGGAUUGCUUUGGAAACUGUGUAGCUAGAGUGCAGGAGAGGUAAGUGGAAUUCCUAGUGUAGCGGUGAAAUGCGUAGAUAUUAGGAGGAACACCAGUGGCGAAGGCGGCUUACUGGACUGUAACUGACGUUGAGGCUCGAAAGCGUGGGGAGCAAACAGGAUUAGAUACCCGGGUAGUC